rnacentral:lncRNA from 1 species
CAAAGGCAGAGGAGAACAAAGGAAGGAGGAAGUAACUUGUGGAGUGCUGAGAAAGGUGAUCAGAAGAGCCAUCACUGAAGAUGACAACUGAGCAAAGACCCAAAGGAGGUGAAGAGUGAACUACGGAGGAAGCACCUUCCUGGCAGAGAACAGCAAGUGCAAAGGCCCUGGGCAGGGAGGAUGACUGGGGAUCAUUCAAGCAAGAGCAAAGAGGCCAAUGUGGAAGGAACAGAGUCAGCAAGAAGGAGUGUAAAAGGAGCUCUGGCUGCUGUAGGGAGAAGAAACUAAGGAAAUACCAGCAGAAGCAGGGACCCUGGCCAAGAGGCUAAUGAAAUCAUCCAAGUGAGAGAUGACAGGGGCUUGGACAAGCAGAGGUGACCUGGAUAGACUCUGAAGUUACGGUUACCUGAAAGACUGGUACGGGGUUUGACAGAAAAAGAAGAGUCAAGGAAGAUCCCAAAGUUAUUGGCCCUGGGCAAGCAGAAACAUGAAGCUGGGUUUAACUGAACAAAGGAAGAAGUGACUAUAUCAGAUCUGGGGACAAGAUAUGAAGUUCAGUUUUUUAUUUUUAUUUCAUUAUUUUGAGAGUCUCACUCUGUCGCCCAGGCUGGAGUGCGGUGGCAUGAUCUCAGCUCACUGCAACCUCCGCCUCCCGGGUUCAAGCGAUUCUCCUGCCUCAGCCUCCUGAGUAGCUGGGAUUACAGGCGUGUGCUAUCACGCCUGACUAAUUUUUGUACUUUUAGUAGAGAUGGGGUUUCACCAUGUUGGCCAGGCUGGUUUGUAACUCCUGACCUCAGGUGAUCCACCUGCCUCAGCCUCCCAAAGUGCUGGGAUUACAGGCGUGAGCCACCAUGCCCGGCCUGUCUGAUUAUUUUAAUUAAGACUUUAAGUCAGACAGAGGAGCUUAUUUUGGCUACUCUAGAUCCUCUGUUGCACAUGCAUUUUAGAAUCAGCUUUAUUUUUACUAAAUUUUAUUUGUAUUUUACUGAUUUUUUUUAUUUUACUAAACUUUAUUUUUAUUUUAUUUUAUUUUUUUGAGACAGAGUCUGGCUCUGUCACCCAGGCUGGAGUGCAGUGGUGCAAUCUCGGCUCACUGCAAGCUCCGCCUCCCAGGUUCAAGCCAUUCUCCUGCCUCAGCCUCCUGAGUAGCUGGGACUACAGGCGCCCGCCACCACGCCCGGAGAAUUUUUUGUAUUUUUAGUGGAGACGGGGUUUCACCGUGUUAGCAAGGAUGGUCUCGGUCUCCUGACCUCGUGAUCCGCCCACCUCGGCCUACCAAAGUGCUGGGAUUACAGGCGUAAGCCACUGCGCCCGGCAGAUGGUUACUUCUUGAGUGAACUUUGGUAGUUUGUGUCAUUCAAGGAAUCUGUUUCUUCUAGAUUGCUGAUCAAUAUUCAGUUAUUACACUUUCAAUAUCUUUAGAAUCUGUGUGAUGUCAUCUCUUUCACUGCUGAUAUUACAGUUAUUGUCUUCCCUUUUUUCCCCUGAUCAGUCUGGGUAGAGGUUUAUGAGUUUCAUUGCUCUCUCAAAUAACUAGCUUUUGGUUUCAUGAUUUCUGUACUGGUUUUCUGUUUCAUUGAUUUCCAGACUGGCCUUUUCUUUUUCUUUCUUUCUUUCUUUUUUUUUUGAGACGGAGUCUCGUUCUGUCGCUAGGGUGGAGUGCAAUGGCGCGAUCUCGGUUCACUGCAACCUCCGACUCCCUGGUUAAAGCGAUUCUCCUGCCUCAGCCUCCUGAGUAGCUGGGAUUACACAGGCAAGCGCCACCACGCCCAGCUAAUUUUUGUAUGGUUAGUAGAGACGGGGUUUCACCAUGUUGGCCGGGAUGAUCUCAAUCUCCUGACCUUGUGAUCUGCCCGCCUCAGCCUCCCAAAGUGCUGGGAUUACAGGCAUGGGCCUCCCUGCCUGGCCACACUGGCUUUUUCUUCUGCUUAAUUGGGGUUUCACUAGUCUUCAUUUUUUCUAAUUUCUAAAAGUGGGACCCCAAGGUCAUUGAUUUGGGACCUUUGUUCUUUUCUGAUACAGAUGCUCAACUUAAAAUUGGGUUACAUCCUGAAAAACCCAUCAUAAAAUUGAAAAAUGUAAGUUGAGACGUCAUAAGUCAGGGACCAUCUGCACUAUAUAAAUUUCCCUUUAGCUCCAUCACACAAAUUUUAUGUGGCACUUUCACCUUCAUUCAGUUCCAGAUACUUACUUACUUCGCUGUUGAUUUUCUUUGACCC